rnacentral:rRNA from 1 species
GAUGAACGCUGGCGGCGUGCCUAAUACAUGCAAGUUGAGCGAACGGACGAGAAGCUUGCUUCUCUGAUGUUAGCGGCGGACGGGUGAGUAACACGUGGAUAACCUACCUAUAAGACUGGGAUAACUUCGGGAAACCGGAGCUAAUACCGGAUGAUAUUUUGAACCGCAUGGUUCAAAAGUGAAAGACGGUCUUGCUGUCACUUAUAGAUGGAUCCGCGCUGCAUUAGCUAGUUGGUAAGGUAACGGCUUACCAAGGCAACGAUGCAUAGCCGACCUGAGAGGGUGAUCGGCCAAACUGGAACUGAGACACGGUCCAGACUCCUACGGGAGGCAGCAGUAGGGAAUCUUCCGCAAUGGGCGAAAGCCUGACGGAGCAACGCCGCGUGAGUGAUGAAGGUCUUCGGAUCGUAAAACUCUGUUAUUAGGGAGGAACAUAUGUGUAAGUAACUGUGCACAUCUUGACGGUACCUAAUCAGAAAGCCACGGCUAACUACGUG